GAUAAACGCUGGCGGCGUGCAUGAGACAUGCAAGUCAUACGGACGAUCGGGGUUCGCUCUGAUCGUUAGUGGCGGACGGCUGAGUAACGCGUAGGUGACCUGCCCCGAAGUGGGAAUAACUGCCCGAAGGGUGGCUAAUACCGCAUGUGGUGGUGCGUUCGAUCGCACCAGUAAAGCCGCAAGGCGCUUCGGGAGGGCCCGCGUCCGAUUAGCUCGUUGGUGAGGUAACGGCUCACCAAGGCGACGAUCGGUAGGUGGUCUGAGAGGACGAUCACCCAGACUGGGACUGAGACACGGCCCAGACUCCUACGGGAGGCAGCAGUGGGGAAUUUUGGGCAAUGGGCGCAAGCCUGACCCAGCAACGCCGCGUGAA
rnacentral:rRNA from 1 species